UAUACUACCAGUCACUCAUUUCGUCGAUCACCCAUGGCGCCUCCCGGGACUGUCUCGUCUCCGAACCCGGGUGGCAGCAGCAGCAGCAAGGGCGUCGGCGGCGGGACGGAGCCGAGGUUCACCGGGGUGCGGAAGCUGGCUUCAGGGCGGUACUCGGCGGUCUUCUACCACUCGGUGAACAAGAAGAGCGCGACCGUCCGCGUCGGCACCUACGACACGGCCGAGCAGGCCGCUGGCGCCCGCGCCGCCGCCAAAAUCGCCAUGGCUUCCGCACCCUCCCGCCCGCCUCCGACGCCGCCGCCGCCGCGGCUGCCGUGGAUCUCGACCACCUCGUCGUCGCGGAUAGACUCGCCGUCGCUCAAGGCAGCGCUCGCCAUGGCCCUCGUCCACCACAAGCGCCUCCCGGCCCCCGCGGGCGCCGCCGCCGCCACCUCCGCCGCCGCCUCCCCCAAGUCCCCGCCUCUCGUCCGCUGGAAGCGCAAGGCCAAGGACCGGAAGCGGGAGAUCCUCCGCCUCCGCGAGGAGCUCAAGCUCCUCCAAGAUGGGGCGCGCAGGGAGGAGUUGGAGCCGCCGGUUGCGUCGUGCCGGUGCCACUUCUUCGACGGGUGCGGGAGCCUGCCGCCGCCCGGUGGUGGGGAGCAUUGGGUCGACGAGGUUCUGCGGAGGAGGUUCCUCAGAUUGGCACGGUGGAUGGAGAAACGACGGAGACCGGAUCGAUCUCUUCCCGUCAGUGGUUCGCUGGAGUUCAACAGGGAGGAUGAGAUACAACAGCUUAGCUUGUCGAUCGAUUUCCUAGUGGAGCUAUCAGAUGGCAUUUUUGGCAAGAAAGAAGCUGGAUCAUCAUUUGCUACAUUCUCUCACCAAGCAGUCGACUUCAUUUUGGCUGCACUGAGGAACAUCCUAAUAUCGAAAAGGGAAAAAGAACUGGUUGAGGAGAUAAUCGAUGGUUUAGUGGCACGUUUGAUGAAAAGGAUGUGUACCAUUCCUGAAAAUACUGGUACUUCAGAUUCAGGAUCAGUUGAAUGCUCAGAUGCCCAAUUCUCUGUGCAGCACUUGUUCCGCAAAUUAGGAAAUGAAGAGUUCAUUGGUCAGCGGAUAAUCCUUGCAGUUUCUCAAAAGAUCUCAAAUGUAUCAGAAAGAUUACUUCUCGUAGACCCGUUUGAUGGUUCCUUCCCUGAUAUGCAUGACAACAUGUUCAUCAUGAUUCAAUUAAUUGAGUUCCUCAUAUCCGAUUGCAUGAAAAAUUGGCUAUGUUGCGAGCAAUUUGACAAAAAAAUUUUCGAAGAAUGGGCCAGAUCUAUUCUCAAGACACGCAAAGACUUGGAAGUCCUGGAAAACAUAAAUGGGCUGUAUGUAGUAUACAUUGAGCGAGUGGUCGGGAGGUUGGCAAGGGAGGUUGCUCCUGCUGCUCAUCAGGGGAAGCUGGACCUAGAAGUUUUCUCCAAACUCCUGUGCUGAGAGCGUCCAGCCCUGGAUUUGACAAUCUGGAUGCUUAGCUACAGAAAGAUGGUCCAGCAAACUGGUGUUGUGUUCACUGAAUGGUCGGGAACAAGACAUUGCCAAAAGACCUCCAUGCUCGAUCGAUGUAAGGUCCUUUUCGCGGAGGCCGGGCCGGCCGGCAGGUACGUACGAACCAGCAGCAGAGAUUGACAAGCUAGUUGGCGUGCGCCGCCGUUCCAGUGCCUGAAUCUGGCCUCUUCUUCCCCAAGGGUGAAACAUCUCUGGAUCCCAGGUUUGUUGUACACACGAUGCACUCAUCUCUUGUUGCCAAUUUGGAACGCUCUGGCGAGCUAAACGACGAUGGGCAGGGCACGUUACUGGGUAGGUUAACUCGCUGUCGAGGCUAGCUCUAGCUAGGCAUUGUCUGCAGACUGAUUGCCCUGGGACCAAGGACUUCCUGUAGUGAGAACCUGAAGUAUACGCAAGUGCGUACAACCAGCUGCUUUGGAAAUUAUGAAGAGAACUCUGCUAAGCUAAGCUUAUAAGCAGCAUAUAUGCGGUGGCCGGAUGAUGAAUAUGCAUAUGUCCCCUCUUGACAAGACCACACCUGCCUAGUUUACUUGGCUACAGUCUAUAUGGAUCUGUGUGGGCUUUGAAAAUCUUGGCAAAAGGUGCGUGGGGGCUCUGUCAUGGUAGGAGCAUCCAGGACCCUGGAUCUGCUACAGUUGCUGCUGCCGAAAAAGAAAUCUCUGUUCGUCUAGAACUUAGAUCUGUAUGUACCCUGCAACCUGCUGACUGCUGGGCUUACCAUAAGAAAAAACUGAAGGAAACACACCAAAAAUGAUUGAGCAGAGUGGCAAUGCAAGAGAGCAAGCUGAUCUCUGAAGCAGCGAUAGCAUUAAUUGAGCUAGUGAGAUGCAUCAUGCAUGUUGUCAUAUAUGAUACACAAAUGAUUAAAGUUUUGUUUUCUUGGCAAGGAACUGAUCAGGAUGACGAUCUAUACAUAUAUGCACAGUGUAUGCAUGCAUGCAGAUGCUCUAGUACACACACAUAUAUAUUAUCUGGAGUUGGGUCCUCCAGGUUCUGGCCUGUUCCCACAUAUACAAAUAAUACAAUGCAGAUAUUGAUAUA